rnacentral:rRNA from 1 species
GAAACGACUGCUCAGACUGGAUAGGAAGAAAUACGGCAUUUUUAUCUUUUAAAAGACCUUAGUAAAUAGUUAUUCUUUAGGGAGGGGCUUGGCCCAUAUUAGUUAGUUGGUAGGGUAAUGGCCUUUCCAAGACGAUAAUGUGUAGCUGGACUGAGAGGUUGAACAACCACAUUUGGACUGAGACACGGCCCAAACUCCUACGGGAGGCAGCCAGUAGGGAAUUUUCGGCAAUGGAGGAAACUCUGACCGAGCAACGCCGCGUGAAUGACGAAGUACUUCGGUAUGUAAAGUUCUUUUAUCAAGGAAGAAAAGCAAAUGGCGAACCAUUUGUUUGCCGGUACUUGAUGAAUAAGCCCCGGCUAAUUAUGUGCCAGCAGCCGCGGUAAGACAUAAGGGGCAAGUGUUAUCCGGAAUUAUUGGGCGUAAAGGGUGCGUAGGCGGUCUAGUAAGUCAGUGGUGUAAUGGCAACGCUUAACGUUGUCCGGCUAUUGAAACUGCUAAACUUGAGUUAGAUAGAGGCGAGUGGAAUUCCAUGUGUAGCGGUAAAAUGCGUAAAUAUAUGGAGGAACACCAGAGGCGUAGGCGGCUCGCUGGGUCUUAACUGACGCUGAGGCACGAAAGCGUGGGGAGCAAACAGGAUUAGAUACCCUGGUAGUCCACGCCGUAAACGAUGAGUACUAAGUGUCGGGUUAAACCGGUACUGAAGUUAACACAUUAAGUACUCCGCCUGAGUAGUACGUACGCAAGUAUGAAACUUAAAGGAAUUGACGGGACUCCGCACAAGCGGUGGAUCAUGUUGUUUAAUUCGAAGAUACCCGAAAAACCUUACCAGGUCUUGACAUGUUUUUGCAAAAUGAUAGUAAUAUCGUGGAGGUUACCAGAAACACAGGUGGUGCAUGGUUGUCGUCAGCUCGGUCGUGAGAUGUUAGGUUAAGUCCUAAAACGAGCGAAACCCUUAUCGUUAGUUGCCAGCACGUUAUGGUGGGGACUUUAACGAGACUGCCAAUGAUAAAUUGGAGGAAGGUGAGGAUCACGUCAAAUCAGCAUGCCCCUUAUGACCUGGGCUACAAACGUGAUACAAUGGCUGGUUCAAAAGGGGCUGAAACGCAAGUUCUUUGGCCAAUCCCCAAAAACAGUCCCAGUCCGGAUUGAAGUCUGGAACUCGACUUCCUGAAGUUGGAACCCCUAGUAAUCCCGAAUCAACAUUGCCGGGGAAACGUUCUCGGGGUUUGUACACACCGCCCGUCA